CGGCGGACGGGUGAGUAAUGUAUGGGGAUCUGCCUGAUGGCGGGGGAUAACUACUGGAAACGGUAGCUAGUACCGCAUAACGUCGCAAGACCAAAGAGGGGGACCUUCGGGCCUCGCGCCAUCAGAUGAACCCAUAUGGGAUUAGCUUGUAGGUAAGGUAACGGCUUACCUAGGCGACGAUCCCUAGCUGGUCUGAGAGGAUGACCAGCCACACUGGAACUGAGACACGGUCCAG
rnacentral:rRNA from 1 species